rnacentral:tRNA from 2 species
GGGCCCGUAGUUCAGUUGGUAGAACGCCUCGUUUGCAACGAGGAGGUCACCGGUUCGAGCCCGGUCGGGUCCACCA